ACUGGGCCACUCUCUCUGACUCAUGGUCAGCCUGAUUUUUAUGCAAUGCAGGACUACCUUCCCAGAGAUGAUACAGCACACAGUGGGCUGGGCCCUCCUACACCAAUUAGCAAGAAAACUGUGCAUAGACUAGCCAAAAGACCAUUAGCUAGGCAAUUCCCCAACUGUGGUUCCUUCAAAUAACUCUAGUCUGACAGCUAAAGAUAACUAGGGCAAUCCACACAUUGUCAACUUGAUACAAACAUGUCACUUAAAGCCAUAACCUUUCAAUUUUUUGUCCCCCAAAUCAGCUUUAAACAUUCCACAGUCUUAAAAAUAUUAACACAUUAAAACUUCAAAGUCUCUUUUCUGUGGGUUCCUAUAAGAUGGGAAAAAAGACAAGUUGCAUACUUUCUUAUUCCUAGAAGGACACAAUUACAGUCAUAUCAAAGAGAAAGACAAGAUGAACAGUGUGAAAAGCUCAGCGUCCAACAUCUCGUACUCAGUCAAGAUCUUCUGGGCUCCAAAGAACUGAGGGCUGACAGAACACACAUGGGGAAAUGCCCUCUGGGAUGAAGGAAUAUAGCUAUCGGAACUCCUGCCUGCCAGCACCCAGGCUUAAAGAAGAUGCUUCCUCAGAAAAAUGCAUAGAUUAUUUUAUCAAUAUGGUCUGCACACCAGCUUCUCAUUCAUAACACAGGGGAAGUCACACUGUCCCUAGGAUUCCUGGGAGAUGACAGCCAACCCUCCUCAGGACACUCAGCAGUGGCAAUGCCUGAGCCUGGACUAGUUGACAUGAGGCCCAUCGUUACCUGGCUAUGUUGUACCACUCAGAUGAUCUCCUGGAGUGGGACCUGAAGAUGGGGCAAAAAGACACUCCCAGUGAAAGGCCACACCUUGGAACAAUGAUGUUUCAAGUCCUGUUGCCUACAGCAGGAGGCAAACUGCUCUACUAGUGUACCGUCCUAGAGGUGAACUCCUAAGGGGGUGAAGAUAUAAUCCAAGUGGUACGCCAAAGUGUUUAUUUUAUUUCCCAAGACAUGCGAAUUAUAUAGUCUGCUCCAAAAUACACCCAUGCUCGGAGUAAAAGUUGGUUGAUAAAAAAUGCAAACUGAUGUUGAAGAAUUUUCUGCAGUUCCCAUAUUCAACUAGAUAAAUGUGUUUUCUCACUGCUAA